GACGGAGGGUGCAAGCGUUGCUCGGAAUCAUUGGGCGUAAAGGGUGCGUAGGCGGCUUCUUAAGUCUGACGUGAAAGCCCAGGGCUUAGCCUUGGAGGUGCGUUAGAAACUGAGAAGCUUGAGUGCCGGAGGGGAGAGUGGAAUUCCUAGUGUAGCGGUGAAAUGCGCAGAUAUUAGGAGGAACACCGGUGGCGAAGGCGCCACUCUGGGCCGAAACUGACGCUGAGGAGCGAAAGCCAGGGGGAGCCG
rnacentral:rRNA from 1 species